rnacentral:rRNA from 1 species
GUAGGUGGCAAGCGUUGUCCGGAAUUAUUGGGCGUAAAGCGCGCGCAGGCGGUUCUUUAAGUCUGAUGUGAAAGCCCACGGCUCAACCGUGGAGGGUCAUUGGAAACUGGAGAACUUGAGUACAGAAGAGGAAAGCGGAAUUCCACGUGUAGCGGUGAAAUGCGUAGAGAUGUGGAGGAACACCAGUGGCGAAGGCGGCUUUCUGGUCUGUAACUGACGCUGAGGCGCGAAAGCGUGGGGAGCAAACAGGGAUUAGAUACCCUGGUAGUCCACGCCGUAAACGAUGAGUGCUAAGUGUUAGGGGGGUUUCCGCCCCCUCAGUGCUGCAGCUAACGCAUUAAGCACUCCGCCUGGGAGUACGGCCGCAAGGCUG